CUUUUUUCAUAAUAUGUCAAAAUUGCGGAGGGAAGGUUUUUGAUGGGAUGAAGAUAUCAAACCAACACCAACUCAUCUCUUUCUCUGCUUUAUUUGAGACUCAUCUUUAUGUUUUUGGUAGAAAAUUAAAAUAAAAGCUAAUUUUGGCAUACAGAUACAUUCACUUGUCACAGAUAAAUGUGUUUGCUUGACUGAUGUUUCAGUUCCACACUUUGUCUACACCUUUCUCUAACAGCAGAGAGAUACUGUCUUGGAACAUGUAUAUAUAUAUAGUUUAACUAGAAUCAUACUUUUUCCUAUACUUACAAAAGAAACCAAAACAGAAAAAAACAAAAUGACCUUAUGGCA